rnacentral:rRNA from 1 species
UACGUAGGUGGCGAGCGUUGUCCGGAUUUACUGGGCGUAAAGCGCGCGUAGGUGGCUUGGCAAGUCCUGUCGUGAAAGGUUGCGGCCCAACUGCAACACUGCGGACGAUACUGCCAGGCUUGAGGGCAGCAGAGGUCGGUGGAAUUCCCGGUGGAGUGGUGAAAUGCGUAGAUAUCGGGAGGAACACCAGAGGCGAAGGCGGCCGACUGGGCUGUACCUGACGCUGAGGCGCGAAAGCGUGGGGAGCGAACCGGAUUAGAUACCCGGGUAGUCCACGCCCUAAACGGUGGCAACUAGGUGUGGGGGGUAUCGACCCCCUCCGUGCCGCAGCUAACGCGUUAAGUUGCCCGCCUGGGGACUACGGCCGCAAGGUUAAA